rnacentral:rRNA from 1 species
UCCUGUACUGCUUAUGGACAGAACUGUGGGGACGCAGAAGGAGAGCACGAGCCGGAAAUGGAAAAGCCGGUACAAGCGUAUAGCAGUCAUGCAGGCAAAACCGCAUGAAAAAUGUAAAGCGUUAUGUGGAUCGAACAUUAGUAGAGAAGCGUGUGAGCCAGCUGCCAAGAAAAGCCGCUAUUGUUUCAUAAGUACCCGUACCGUAAACCGACACAGGUGGAUGAGGAGAGAAUCCUAAGGCCGGCGGGAGAAGUGUUGUUAAGGAACUCGGCAAAAUGACUCCGUAACUUCGGGAGAAGGAGUGCCACAGAGAUGUGGCCGCAGAGAAAUGGCCCAAGCAACUGUUUAGCAAAAACACAGGUCUAUGCAAAACCGAAAGGUGAGGUAUAUGGGCUGACGCCUGCCCGGUGCUGGAAGGUUAAGAGGAGAGGUUAGAGCAAUCGAAGCUUUGAAUUUAAGCCCCAGUAAACGGCGGCCGUAACAAUAACGGUCCUAAGGUAGCGAGAUUCCUUGUCGGGUAAGUUCCGACCCGCACGAAAGGCGUAAUGAUUUGGGCACUGUCUCAACAACACACCCGGUGAAAUUGAAAUACCAGUGAAGAUGCUGGUUACCUGCGCCAGGACGGAAAGACCCCAUGGAGCUUUACUCCAGUUUGAUACUGGGAUUCGGUACUGUCUGUACAGGAUAGGUGGGAGGCUAGGAAAUGGUGACGCCAGUUGCCAUGGAGCCAACCUUGGGAUACCACCCUUACAGUACUGGGUUUCUAACCUGCAGCCGUAACCCGGCUGGGGGACAAUGUCUGACGGGGAGUUUGACUGGGGCGGUCGCCUCCGAAAGAGUAUCGGAGGCGCUCAAAGGUUCCCUCAGAACGGUUGGAGACCGUUCGAAGAGUGCAAAGGCAGAAGGGAGCUUGACUGCGACACCGACGGGUGGAGCAGAUACGAAAGUAGGACUUAGUGAUCCGGUGGUAUAAAGUGGGAUUGCCAUCGCUCAACGGAUAAAAGCUACCCUGGGAUAACAGGCUUAUCACUCCCAAGAGUUCACAUCGACGGAGUGGUUUGGCACCUCGAUGUCGGCUCAUCGCAUCCUGGAGCUGUAGCAGGUUCCAAGGGUUGGGCUGUUCGCCCAUUAAAGCGGUACGCGAGCUGGGUUCAGAACGUCGUGAGACAGUUCGGUCCCUAUCCGGCGUGGGCGUAGGAUAUUUGAGAGGAGCUGUCCUUAGUACGAGAGGACCGGGAUGGACAAACCUCUGGUGUAUCUGUUGUUUUACCAAAGGCAUGGCAGAGUAGCCAAGUUUGGCAGGGAUAAACGCUGAAGGCAUCUAAGCGUGAAGCCCCCCUCAAGAUAAGAUAUCCCAUCUUCGGAGUAAGACCCCUUGAAGACUACAAGGUUGAUAGGCUUCAGGUGUAAGUGUGGUAACGCACUCAGCUGAGAAGUACUAAUAGGUCGAGGACUUAUCAAA